UGGGGAAUAUUGGACAAUGGGCGAAAGCCUGAUCCAGCCAUGCCGCGUGUGUGAAGAAGGUCUUCGGAUUGUAAAGCACUUUAAGUUGGGAGGAAGGGCAUUAACCUAAUACGUUAGUGUUUUGACGUUACCGACAGAAUAAGCACCGGCUAACUCUGUGCCAGCAGCCGCGGUAAUACAGAGGGUGCAAGCGUUAAUCGGAAUUACUGGGCGUAAAGCGCGCGUAGGUGGUUUGUUAAGUUGGAUGUGAAAUCCCCUGGCUCAACCUGGGAACUGCAUUCAAAACUGACUGACUAGAGUAUGGUAGAGGGUGGUGGAAUUUCCUGUGUAGCGGUGAAAUGCGUAGAUAUAGGAAGGAACACCAGUGGCAAAGGCGACCACCUGGACUAAUACUGACACUGAGGUGCGAAAGCGUGGGGAGCAAACA
rnacentral:rRNA from 1 species